CGGACGGGUGAGUAACGCGUGGGUAACCUGCCUUGCACUGGGGGAUAACACUUAGAAAUAGGUGCUAAUACCGCAUAAGCGCACAGUCCUGCAUGGGACAGUGUGAAAAACUCCGGUGGUGCAAGAUGGACCCGCGUCUGAUUAGCUGGUUGGCGGGGUAAAGGCCCACCAAGGCGACGAUCAGUAGCCGGCCUGAGAGGGUGGACGGCCACGUUGGGACUGAGACACGGCCCAGACUCCUACGGGAGGCAGCAG
rnacentral:rRNA from 1 species